rnacentral:rRNA from 1 species
AGAGUUUGAUCCUGGCUCAGGACGAACGCUGGCGGCGUGCUUAACACAUGCAAGUCGAACGGAAAGGCCCUUUCGGGGGUGCUCGAGUGGCGAACGGGUGAGUAACACGUGGGUGAUCUGCCCUGCACUUCGGGAUAAGCUUGGGAAACUGGGUCUAAUACCGGAUAGGACCACGGCCUGCAUGGGUUGUGGUGGAAAACGUUUUAGUGGUGUGGGAUGGGCCCGCGGCCUAUCAGCUUGUUGGUGGGGUGAUGGCCUACCAAGGCGACGACGGGUAGCCGGCCUGAGAGGGUGUCCGGCCACACUGGGACUGAGAUACGGCCCAGACUCCUACGGGAGGCAGCAGUGGGGAAUAUUGCACAAUGGGCGCAAGCCUGAUGCAGCGACGCCGCGUGGGGGAUUGACGGCCUUCGGGUUGUAAACCUCUUUCACCAUCGACGAAGGCCCGCUUUGGGCGGGUUGACGGUAGGUGGAGAAGAAGCACCGGCCAACUACGUGCCAGCAGCCGCGGUAAUACGUAGGGUGCGAGCGUUGUCCGGAAUUACUGGGCGUAAAGAGCUCGUAGGUGGUUUGUCGCGUUGUUCGUGAAAUUCCCUGGCUUAACUGGGGGCGUGCGGGCGAUACGGGCAGACUGGAGUACUGCAGGGGAGACUGGAAUUCCUGGUGUAGCGGUGGAAUGCGCAGAUAUCAGGAGGAACACCGGUGGCGAAGGCGGGUCUCUGGGCAGUAACUGACGCUGAGGAGCGAAAGCGUGGGGAGCGAACAGGAUUAGAUACCCCUGUAGUCC